rnacentral:rRNA from 1 species
AUUGAACGCUGGCGGCAGGCCUAACACAUGCAAGUCGAACGAGUGGCGGACGGGUGAGUAAUGUCUGGGAAACUGCCUGAUGGAGGGGGAUUAUUACUGGAACCGGUAGCUAAUACCGCAUCCCAUCAGAUGUGCCCAGAUGGGUUUAGCUUGUUGGUGGGGUAACGGCUCACCAGGGCGACGAUCCCUUGCUAGUCUGAGUGGAUGACCAGCCACACUGGAACUGAGAGACGGUCCAGACUCCUACGAGAGGCAGCAGUGGGGAAUAUUGCACAGUGGGCGCAAGCCUGAUGCAGCCAUGCCGCGUGUAUGAAGAAGGCCUUCGGGUUGUAAGAUACUUUCAGCGGGGAGGCGUUACCCGCAGAAGAAGCACCGGCUAACUCCGUGCCAGCAGCCGCGGUAAUUC